CACAUUUUGGGAGCUGACUUGGUUUACAUGUCCAUUAAGAAUGCAGCUUGCUGUAGGAGUUAUCGUGAAUGGCAGGACACACUGAUCACUGACAGUUUGACUCCACUUGUGCCUCUGGGUCCAUUUCAAGGCUAUGCAUAUCUGAGUGUUG
rnacentral:rRNA from 1 species